UGAGCAACCUGCCCUUGACUCCGGAAUAACAGCUGGAAACAGCUGCUAAUACCGGAUACGACCUCCGAUGGCAUCAUCUGGAGGUGGAAAGCUCCGGCGGUCAAGGAUGGGCUCGCGGCCUAUCAGCUUGUUGGUGAGGUAACGGCUCACCAAGGCUUCGGACGGGUAGCCGGCCUGGAGGAGGGCCGACCGGCCACACGUGGGACUGAGAUACGGCCCAGACUCCGUAGGGAG
rnacentral:rRNA from 1 species